rnacentral:rRNA from 1 species
AGUGAACGCUGGCGGCGUGCCUAAUACAUGCAAGUCGAACGGAGUGUCGCACGCGUGAGUAAUGUAUAGCUACACUGCCCUACACUAGAGGACAACAGUUUGAAACGGCUGCUCAUACUCCAUAGUGUAGGAUGCGGCUUUAUUGUAUCAGCUAGUUGGUGAGGUAAUGGCUGACCAAGGCUAUGACGCAUAACUGGUCUGAGGGGAUGAUCAGUCACGCUGGAACUGAGACACGGUCCAGACUCCUACGGGAGGCAGCAGUAGGGAAUAUUGCUCAAUGGGGGAAACCCUGAAGCAGCAACGGCGCGUGGAGGAUGACACUUUUCGGAGCGUAAACUCCUUUUGUUAGGGAAGCGGUACCUGACGAAUAAGCACCGGCUAACUCCGUGCCAGCAGCCGCGGUAAUUC